rnacentral:rRNA from 1 species
GCACUUUAAGCAGUGAAGAAGACUCCGUGGUUAAUACCCACGGACGAUGACAUUAGCUGCAGAAUAAGCACCGGCUAACUCUGUGCCAGCAGCCGCGGUAAUACAGAGGGUGCAAGCGUUAAUCGGAAUUACUGGGCGUAAAGGGAGCGUAGGUGGCUCGAUAAGUCAGAUGUGAAAUCCCCGGGCUCAACCUGGGAACUGCAUCUGAUACUGUCGUGCUAGAGUAUGUGAGAGGAAGGUAGAAUUCCAGGUGUAGCGGUGAAAUGCGUAGAGAUCUGGAGGAAUACCGAUGGCGAAGGCAGCCUUCUGGCAUAAUACUGACACUGAGGCUCGAAAGCGUGGGUAGCAAACAGGAUUAGAUACCCUGGUAGUCCACGCCGUAAACGAUGUCUACUAGUCGUUGG